GCUUGCUUCUCUGGAUGAGUUGCGAACGGGUGAGUAACGCGUAGGUAACCUGCCUGGUAGCGGGGGAUAACUAUUGGAAACGAUAGCUAAUACCGCAUAAGAGUAGAUGUUGCAUGACAUUUGCUUAAAAGGUGCACUUGCAUCACUACCAGAUGGACCUGCGUUGUAUUAGCUAGUUGGUGGGGUAACGGCUCACCAAGGCGACGAUACAUAGCCGACCUGAGAGGGUGAUCGGCCACACUGGGACUGAGACACGGCCCAGACUCCUACGGGAGGCAGCAGUAGGGAAUCUUCGGCAAUGGACGGAAGUCUGACCGAGCAACGCCGCGUGAGUGAAGAAGGUUUUCGGAUCGUAAAGCUCUGUUGUAAGAGAAGAACGAGUGUGAGAGUGGAAAGUUCACACUGUGACGGUAUCUUACCAGAAAGGGACGGCUAACUACGUGCCAGCAGCCGCGGUAAUACGUAGGUCCCGAGCGUUGUCCGGAUUUAUUGGGCGUAAAGCGAGCGCAGGCGGUUAGAUAAGUCUGAAGUUAAAGGCUGUGGCUUAACCAUAGUAGGCUUUGGAAACUGUUUAACUUGAGCGCAAGAGGGGAGAGUGGAACUCCAUGUGUAGCGGUGAAAUGCGUAGAUAUAUGGAGGAACACCGGUGGCGAAAGCGGCUCUCUGGCUUGUAACUGACGCUGAGGCUCGAAAGCGUGGGGAGCAAACAGGAUUAGAUACCACUGGUAGUCCACGCUGUAAACGAUGAGUGCUAGGUGUUAGACCCU
rnacentral:rRNA from 1 species